AUGGUUUACAAAACCAGGUGCAGAUAUUUGAAACAAAACAAAAGAGUAUUUCAAUAUCUCUUUUAUUAGAAAUCUGGAAAAGUAGCUUAAUAUUCCCCUCAAUAAAUUUUUAUUGGUUUUACUAGUUUUAAGAAAACAAAAAACCUAAACAACAACAAAGGCAUUCCCAGUUAAACCUAUCAGUAUUUUUAUUAGUUGAGUUCUAAAUUCAUUGAUUAAUUUAAGGGAUGUGAAAUUUACAAACGUUUCUUAUUUUGUAAGUUUAUGGAGUUUGUAAUGUCAUAUUUGUUUAUUGUAUUCUUUGCUAUUUCAAAGUCUUUAGAUUUUAUGCAGUUAAAACUGUUCCCUUUGGAAAACAAUAAAGGGGCGCAGAUCCAGUUCCAGAACAGCAGCCUGAGCAGCUCCUCCACCCAGUCUCCCAGGAGAAUCUUAUAACUGACAAACCUGCAAGGAUGCGAAUAGGAAAGGAAAUCAAUUUUGGAAACUAGAAAACAGAAUGUCUUUAAACUUCUCAAAAAUAACAUGAAAGCUAGAUGGAAUGGAAGAAGGCUUUCAAAAUUAUAAAGGUGAAUUAUUUUUAACCUAAAAUUCUAUACUCCAACUUUGAUUGAUCAAGUUUAAAGGUAGAUUAAAGAAUAAAUCAAGAAAAGCCUUUGAUGCAGGAAAUAGGAGAUCCAACACAGGAUAGAGGCAAAAGGAAUCCCAGGAUGGCAGUGGUGAAAAGAGAUUCCAGCAGGACAGCUGUGUAUUAGGUGUCAGGGCCCUCAGCCCAGACUGGAGCAGGUUGGAAGGUGCUGGAGGAGCCUUUCUCAGGAGGAGAUCAAGUACCAUGCAUACAAACGUCCUGAAAAAAGACUUGAGGGUUGGAUUAGUGUUAAGUACAUAGAAAAGCAAGCAAACAAACAAACGAAAAAUUAAAGCAAUUAUUAUCUCCAGGGAAGACAAAAAGUUAUGCAGGAAAGGAAAUCAUAAUUUUCUAUGUGGUUUUGCUACUCUAUAUGGUAUUUACAUAGUUACAAUAUUGUAGAUACUGAAUACUGAUUUAAACAAGAUUAUAAUAUAAUCUUAUAAUCUGGAAGGAGGAGGGAGAUGGGACUUAAAGUUGUGGAAUGUGGAGUCAGGAAGAAGCAAGCUAAAUCUUCAUCUCCUGUAGUUGAGAGUCAUUAGAUUAUGCCUGAGACCGAAAAACCAAGAAUAGCGAUACAAGCAUGAUGUUUAGAGAACUGAGGUAAAUACCUAAAGAAUCAGCUAAAAGAGAUGAAAGUGCUUGCUUCUGGAGAAAAGGAAGAGUGUGAGACUCCUGUUUUUCAAAACAAACUUUGAAGAAUUAUUUGACUCUUUAAAAACUAUGUGCUUUAUAACUUCCAGCAAAUUGUUUCAGUUGUUUCACUCUCUUCCAUAUUGCAUCACUUCAUUCACUAUGUUCAGUUUUCAGAGUAAAUAGUUUAUAUCAGUACAAAAACGUUAAUUUUGUCUCUGCUUUGAAGGCAUUAUUAUGAAGGCUAGACUGGAUAUUUGGAAAUCCUGCUUUUAAUAAUAACUGCUGCCGUUACUGCGUGUGUGGUAGCGUACCAAGCACUUUUGUACAUUAUCUCCAGUUUCCACAACAGCCGUGCAAAGUAGGUAUUGUUCCAUUUUACAGAUGAGAAACUGACACUCAGAGAAGUUAAAUAAUUUGCAAAUCUUUAGCAGAGCUCCCUGAUCCAAAGCCUUUGCUCUUCCUUUCUGUUAGAUCUCAUCACUUCUUUCUAGGGAUUGAGUUUAAAAGACCUACAAGGGG
rnacentral:lncRNA from 1 species